GGAAAACAUUGCUUCAAAAACAUCCUUCCCAAAUCGAGCGUGUUUUUUGCACUUGCCAGUCAUUCCAAGAUGGUUCUGAGCCCCGUUCAGAACAGAUGGGCUGAGAGAGACCCUGCUAACCGGGUCGACUUAAGAAAACCUUUGCUCGGCAUUUGACAAGCGAUGCACACCCGCCGGGAUAAAUCUGCCGAUAAAUGAGAGCGGGUGCUGGGACACGCUCAGACUGGAAGGGGAAGAGAAAACAACAGGGGACACGGUGCUGUUGACAUGCAGCGGUUCAGGGACAUUAUUCUCCUGGGCUCAGAACAUCUGUGGUAAUAAAGGUGGCAGGUGUGGAUCUGCUGAAUUUACCCCCCGGAGCCCCUUGAUAAUUCCUCCCCCAGGUGCAGUGCUUCAUCCUGGACUCCAGAGCGGCUGAAAACCUGCUGCUUUUAAACGAAUUAGUAUAGACAGUGGCAUGUAGCUGCGGUGAGUGGUGUCUCAGCGGACUGGAGAGGAAUUAAAAUUGUAUUAAACACCAGGCAUUUGUAAUAGGGCUCAAUUUAACACGCCG
rnacentral:lncRNA from 1 species